rnacentral:tRNA from 1 species
GCCAGUGGUGGCCUAGUGGUUAGAGUGCCAGGCUAGGACCUGGGAGACCAGGGUUUGAAUCCCCACUUGGUG